GUGUCAGCAGCCGCGGUAAUACGAAGGGGGCGAGCGUUGUUCGGAAUUACUGGGCGUAAAGGGCGCGUAGGCGGCGACCCAAGUCAGAUGUGAAAGUCCUGGGCUUAACCUGGGGACUGCAUUUGAUACUGGGUUGCUUGAAUUCGGGAGAGGAUAGCGGAAUUCCCAGUGUAGAGGUGAAAUUCGUAGAUAUUGGGAAGAACACCGGUGGCGAAGGCGGCUAUCUGGACCGACAUUGACGCUGAGGCGCGAAAGCGUGGGGAGCAAACAGGAUUAGAUACCCCCGUAGUCC
rnacentral:rRNA from 1 species